UUUUCUUUUUUGAGCUUUUUUUAGGAGUAUUCCAUUUUUUGAGCAAAAAAUAUAAAAAUAAUCAACUCACGGCAGGCCUGUCAAAACUGCAGUCCAAUAGAGCCCACAAACAGCCGAAAGAAAUGCAUCCCAUUCACCUAAAAAAAAAAACGCUGCCCGCAACUGCAGUCCGUCGGAAAUCUCUGCCGCCGCCGCCACCGCCGUCUGCCGUCGCCGUCGCCUGCGCCAUGCUCCGCCUCAGGAAGUGCGUCGUUUCCUGUAUCCUCUCUUCUCCCUCCACCUCCGCCAUCUCCCCACUUCGCCGCCUGCUCUCCGCCGCCGCGUCGCCCCCCAUUUCCCCUAACCCUAGUAGCUUCGCCGUGGAAGACUACCUCGUCGGCACCUGCGGCCUCAGCCGACCCCAAGCCCUCAAGGCCUCCAAGAAGCUCUCCCACCUCAACUCCCCCGCAAACCCCGACGCCGUCCUCGCCUUCCUCGCCGGCCUCGGCCUCUCCGGCGCCGAUGCCGCCGCCGUCGUCGCCAAAGAUCCGCAGUUCCUCGGCGCCAAAGUGGACAAAACCCUGGCCCCCGUCGUCGCCGGGCUAACCGGCCUCGGCCUGUCUAGUCCUGAGAUCGCUCGCAUCGUCUCGCUCACCCCCGACGGCUUCCGCCGUAGAUCCAUACUCUCCAGGCUGCUCAAGCGCUCAUCCUGCCUGUUGUUUUCGGACCUCGACAAGGUUGUCAAGCCCAAUGUUGUGUUUCUGAGGGAGUGCGGGCUAGGUGAUUGUGAUAUUGCCAAGCUGUGUAUCCAUGGGCCGAGGAUGCUCACCACCAACCUGGAGCGCGUCCGAGCGAUGGUGACAUGCGCCGAAGGUAUAGGCGUGCCCCGUGGCUCUGCGAUGUUUAGAAAAGCGCUACAUGCUGUCGCAUUCCAAAGCAAGGAGAAGAUUGCCGCCAAAGUGGACUACUUGAAGAAUACAUUCAGGUGGUCUGAUGCCGAAGCGAGCAUUGCUGUGCGCAAGUAUCCGGGUCUGCUCAGGAAGUCAAAGGAAUCUCUGAAGCACAGGUCCGAGUUCUUGUUCUCUGAGGUGGGGCUGGAACCCGCGUACAUUGCUCAUCGACCGGAAAUACUUUCUUAUAGCAUGGAGGGCCGACUCAGACCUCGGUACUAUGUUAUCAAGUUUCUCAAGCAAAGUGGACUGCUAGAUCGUGACUUGAGCUUAUAUUCUGCGGUCAAGAUGACUGACAAGGUAUUUGUGGAGAAGCUCAUAUGCCCUCACAAGGAAGCCGCAGCACACCUCGCUGAAGAUUAUGCAGCAGCUUGCAAAGGGGAAGUGCCAACUAAUUUCAGAUUUACAUGAACAAAAAAGGUCUAUGGAAAUUGGUUACAGUGUAUGGCGCAACAAAGUUACCACCCUGCGUAAGCAGGGACCUAAAUGAUCAAAUCAAAGGAGAAAGAGGCUGAAACAAGGGGAGAAGAUCACAGCAACCACCAGGAGAAAAUAUAUCUCAGUUUUUCAGGACCCGCCUACCUGAAAAAGCUUGCUGAUGGGAUGCAAAGGCUAAAAUUGAUGUAGUAGGAGGGAUGCUGUACAUGUUUGGUUUUAGUGCGCCACCAGAAAAAGCUUGCUGAUGGGAUGCAAAGGCUAAGGUGGUCUGAUGCCGAAGCGAGCAUUGCUGUGCGCAAGUAUCCGGGUGUGCUGAGGAAGUCAAAGGAAUCCUGAAGCACAGGUCCGAGUUCCUGUUCUUCGAGGUGGGGCUGGAACCCGUGUACAUUUCUCAUCGACCGGACAUACUUUCUUAUAGCAUGAAGGGCCGACUCAGACCCCGGUACUAUGUUAUCAAGUUUCUCAAGCAAAAUGGACUGCUAGAUCAUGACUUGAGCUUAUAUUCUUCGAUCAAGAUGACUGAGAAGGUAUUUGUGGAGAAGCUCAUAUGCCCUCACAAGGAAGCUGCACCACACCUCGCUGAAGAUUAUGCAGCAGCUUGCAAAGGGGAAGUGCCUACUAAUUUCAGAUUUACAUGAACAAAAAAGGGCUAUGGAAAUUGGUUACAGUGUAUGGUGCAACAAAGUUAUCACCCUGCGUGUAAGCUGUUACUUCCUGUUUCAGUGUUCUUUGCCUAAGAUGAUGUUGGUUGUUUUCUUUAGCAUGGCAGUUAGUCAUUGCUAAAUGCUAACUCCUUAUGAAACUGAUAAUUUGAUUCCUGAACCCCAUAUGUUGAUGUUGUCAUUCCUUAGAGAAGAUCUCUGUAAAUGAGAAGUUUAUGGAUAUAUAUGUGAUUCCGACUUGCAUUGAAGAUCAUGGAAACUGGA